rnacentral:tRNA from 1 species
UCCAAGGUAGCUUAAUGGUAAAGCAUCUCGCAUUUAACGAGCAUUUGUAGGUUCGAAUCCUACCCUUGGAG